rnacentral:rRNA from 1 species
GAUGAACGCUGGCGGCGUGCCUAAUACAUGCAAGUCGAGCGAAUGGAUUAAGAGCUUGCUCUUAUGAAGUUAGCGGCGGACGGGUGAGUAACACGUGGGUAACCUGCCCAUAAGACUGGGAUAACUCCGGGAAACCGGGGCUAAUACCGGAUAACAUUUUGAACCGCAUGGUUCGAAAUUGAAAGGCGGCUUCGGCUGUCACUUAUGGAUGGACGCGCGUCGCAUUAGCUAGUUGGUGAGGUAACGGCUCACCAAGGCAACGAUGCGUAGCCGACCGGAGAGGGUGAUCGGCCACACGGGGACUGAGACACGGCCCAGACUCCUACGGGAGGUAGCAGGAGGGAAUCUUCCGCAAUGGACGAAAGUCUGACGGAGCAACGCCGCGUGAGUGAUGAAGGCUUUCGGGUCGUAAAACUCUGUUGUUAGGGAAGAACAAGUGCUAGUUGAAUAAGCUGGCACCUUGACGGUACCUAACCAGAAAGCCACGGCUAACUACGUGCCAGCCGCCGCAGUAA